rnacentral:rRNA from 1 species
CAGCCGCCGCGGUAAUACGAAGGGUGCAAGCGUUAAUCGGAAUUACUGGGCGUAAAGCGUGCGCAGGCGGUUAUAUAAGUCAGAUGUGAAAUCACCGGGCUCAACCUGGGAACUGCAUUUGAGACUGUAUGGCUAGAGUGUGUCAGAGGGGGGUAGAAUUCCACGUGUAGCAGUGAAAUGCGUAGAUAUGUGGAGGAAUACCGAUGGCGAAGGCAGCCCCCUGGGAUAACACUGACGCUCAUGCACGAAAGCGUGGGGAGCAAACAGGAUUAGAGACCCGAGUAGUCCCUGUCUCUUAUAC